rnacentral:lncRNA from 1 species
GAACACAAAAUGGCGACACGUGGUUAGCAUUCGUCGCCAACGAGAAAUUGGGGUCGGCCCGAAAGCUCUAGAAUGCACCCCUCUUCCUCCCCGGGGCCUUCCACCUCCGCGAGUUUUAUGACUUAAAAAAGCCCACAGGCUGGUCUGAAGAGGAAGACAAACAUAAAGAUGAAGUGCUUAAUUCAAGGUCACACAAUGUCGGGGAUGGACCUCCAGAUUUCCUUACUGGUGAGACGUGGUCUUGUAACACAGUGGUUAAGAAUGUGACUUUGGAGCCAGCCUGCUAGGGGCUGAAUUCUGACUCAGCCAUUUACUAACUGUGUGACCUUAGGUCACAGAAUUUUCCACACUCCUUGACAGAGGUGCUUAACCCUUAUCCAUCAGCAUUCUCAGACAGCACCUCCGGUUAGGGACAGUAUCUGACCGUCCGACAUCCCUGCAGCCCCCAUGUGUCACACAGACUCAGCCUCAGGUAGAUGGUUUCCGUAGAUGGUGGCUUUCUUUGGACCCUUGACAUCAACCAGUUACUAUUUGGGGACCAGAUGUG